ensembl:lncRNA
CUCCUUACAUGGAUACAUUUAAAAAUCACUGGACAACUUUCAAGGAUCUCACUAUGUAGUUUAGGCUGCCCUUGAAGUCAUGACAGUCCUUCUACCUCAGCCUCCCAAGUGCUAGGAUUAAAGGCUUCUACCCUGAUAACCUUGUCUCGUCCUAACUGCUUCCCAAAGUCCCCACCACAGUGGACCAAGUUUCCAUCCUCUUAAUACCACACAAUGGGGAUCAAAUUCCAGCACAUGAACCCACAGGGUACAUACUUAAUCCACACCCAAACCAUAGCAAUAGCGUAAACACCUUUUCAAAAUUCCAUAUUCUCCUCUCAGAGAUUCACAAAUCAUGAUUGUAUAUCCAAGGCUCUGAGAAGUCCC